UCCCUUUAUCACACCAGCCUCUCAAACCCACAGUUCCUGUCUGUUACAGGAAAUUCGUUGUGGACAGCAGUUAAUACUUACUCACUUUGCAUUAUUCUCCUUCUCAUUAAUCUCAACUCCUACUGAAAAGGGCUCAUGGUGAUCUAAUGCUUUUAAACAAGGACUACUGAUGUGGUAGCGUCACUUCCUGGCAGCCUUUUCUUCUGACUGAUGUGGGGUCUUUGUUGGGAGCCAAGAGGGUGACGCUGUACCCCACUGCAAGCUGGAAAACACAACUUCAAUGCGCACAGAAGCAGAAGGAUGUUAAGUCCUCUCAGGAUCAAAGCAUGACAAUGAAGAUUUCUUAAGAGUGUUUGCCGUGGGAGUGAGGAACGGUGUCAACGGGUUACGAAGUUACAAACACGGCUCAACCGCAAAGGAAGCACAAUGAAGAGGAACGGCAUGGAGCUUGCUCCUUGAGGAAUGCUGAAAAACACCAAGAAGAUGAGUGCAAACCACAUAUUUAGACUCUGUGGAGUGAACCCUACAAGGGAAAAUGGGAUAUUGUGUCCAGCAUGAUUUCUUGGCUCAGAGUCACCAGUCGUACCCAGGAAGAGCGGGCAGUGAACUCCCAGUUUUCGCUCAGCAUUCUAGCUCUUCAGUGACCAUCAGCCCCGGGAAUAGCAGCUAUGUGAGCAUGACUCUACAUCACUAUUUCUGGGCGUUCUGCUACUUGACAUUGAGAGGCCCGGAUUAGGCGGCUUCACUACUGUAAAAUGUGUGUGUGCCUUGUAAGUACACAUAUAGUGCUGUGCAAAAGGCAGUUGUCGCAGUGCAGCUUUAAAAAACAAAAACCUCAGUGUCUUUCUUUUUUAUUUCAUGUGAUAAAGCAGAAUUCCCACAUUUACUUUGCAGCAAUUUGUUUAUCUUGUUUGCGUUUUCCUUGUUUUGGAAAGUGUUUUUGAGUGUUCUAAAAAGCACUUUAUAAGUAUAAUUUGUUAGAACAGCAUACCAAGCUUUGGACGUCUUAUCUUCAAUUGUCUGAAAAUAGGAAAUUCCAAACUUAUACUUUAAGUUUUGAAUUACAGUAUGCAUUACGUUCUGCUGGUAUAUUGCAUAAGAUGUAAAAAAAAAAAAAAGAAGACAUUGAAUGAAAAACAUUGAAAGGUUGUGGAUGAAAUGUGACAGAUUUCAAACAGGUUGGCGGGGGUAUGAAUUCUUUUGAGAAGUUCUAUACAAUCUGAAAGUACUGGCAAUGAUAUACAGUAUGUGCUUUUUUUUCAUGUGUUAAAAAAACCCCAAAGCUUUUGGGCUAUUUUUUUUUUUCCUGGAAAAAAAAAACCAAGUCGAACUUCUAUUUUUUCGAUUUCUCAACAGAUGUUAUGACGAAAGUCACAUCUUAAAUCAGGUGCCACACCCUUGGUUAGGCUGAAUGUCUGCUUUUAACUACAACAACCAGAGCAAUCGUUAGGGUUGAGUAUCUUGUUUAUCCACUAAACACAGAAAGCAUGCAGUCAAACCAACAAACAGGCUUGAGUAGCAUCAGCUGGUAAACAUGUAUGCUUUACAGUGAAUUGUUUUUGCCUUUAAUGAUUUGGUUAACCCCAGCAAACCACACAGAGUCAGAGCUGAGGCAUUCCCGCUCACACACAAACUUACGCACACACACAACCGGUGCAACAACAUCCGUGUAGGAGAUGACUUCAAGGGAUGACUAAACUUUGGCUUCGUUUGAGUCCAGCUGGGUUUUUUUUUUUUUUUUUUUUCAACCCUACCUCUGUUAAAUGCAGGCAAUCAUAACAGCUAUAAUGGCUGCUGGUACUUGCCCUCACCGGUCUUUCUGAACCGAUUUGGCGCUCUGGGCCUCCUGAUGUUACACUAUGCAUCUCUUUGAACACACCAGCUGUUUGCCUGUGUGAGUAAUGGAGUGCGUGAAGCUGCGAAGUGAGCAUCAGGUGUUCCCUGCUUUACACACCUUGCAUCUGUGCUACAAAAGGUUGGCACUCUCACGAGGGGCUGCUUUUUAAUCAGAGAACAUAAUAUAUCUAACAAAAGUUGCACACAGAGUAAAAUGAGCUGUCAUUAUGACCAAAGACCCUGCAGCAGGAUUACUCUGAACGCCCUUGGCUUGCUUAUGAGCUUUUAAAAUGCUCACCUUUAAAACUACACAUAUAUUACGAAACCUAUUUGAAACCAUCAAUAAAACAAGACGUCACAAAAACAAAAUUGGUUUACAGAUGGUAACUGUAGAGAAUAGCAAUAAAAGAAGAAGAAAAGUGCUGACCAGUGUAAGCAGUGUCAGCACUCCUUACUCAUACUUUUUUUUAAUUAAAAAGGUGAUUUUUAUCAAUAAAUCUUAUAUACUCUUCUACAAGUGAGUCUGUAAUAAACUAAGGACAUCGUGGGCAGAGUUCUGAUUGGUUCACGGUUGUGGUCAUGAUACCAGGGUUUGGAGUUGGAGAAAUCACUUCUGUUUUAACGAUGUCAGAAAAGUCGCUGUCUUCAAGGGGACAAAUCAGCGGUGCAAAAAUUUUAGUAUGCUUGAGGUUAAUCUUUCAGUGAAACUGAUGAUGCUGUCAACAAUGUAAACAAAUUGAUUUCAAGAAAGCCCCUCCCUAUACACAACAUAUUAAUGUCACUCCACAAUUGUCCGACUGAAGCUAAACAUAAUAAACAGGGUCAGCUUUAUAACUCUAUAUACAGCUCAAACUAAUAAUAUUUGCCUUUUAAAGGCAGCAGGACAUAAUAGCCCUGUAGGCCAGGAUGCAGGUGCUGUGGCGCAUAAAGGUUGCAAAUACGUCACAGCGAAAGGAAAUAAAAAUAUUGUGUUUACUAUAAUUACAGGUCCCGAACAGGACAAAAGAGCAAACCGAUGGUAUCUCCAUGCAGGCAUUAAUGUGUGGGCCAAGUCAGGAAGUUGAUAAAAGGGCAAAAAUAAAGUUGACCUCACUUAAAAGAUGCAUGGAGAAAGCAUGGAACAUCUGAAUCUGUUCAUUUGUGAAAUGAAGAGUAAUUUCUAGUGUUUAAAUAGAAGGCAUUUGGACUUUUACUUUCUUGACAUGUGGCCAAAAAAGCUGACAUGUUGGCAUCGUUAGGUAAAAUGUUUGGAUUGUCAAGUGGCAACAGCCCAACAUUAACUGAAUAGAGGGUAGGGCCAGUGACUCAUGUGACCUUAACGGACCCAUUUGGGCGAUUUCUCUGGCCACAACUUUCCUGAUCCUUCCAACCAUGCAGUAGCUAAAAAAAAUCCUUUUGGAUAAGAGGUGGAACAACAAGAGAAAUUCAGUUACCUUGUAUUUAAGCACCCAUCAUUGUCAUAUACUGAAUGACUGAGAAUUACACACCAGCAUAAUGAAAUGUAAUAAUGAGGAAACACUCAAAAUGUCAAGAUUUUUUUUUUUAUUUUGCAAUGAACAAAUCAAUCACAAAUCAUCACUUCAAAAAUGACAAAUCAGGAUUUGAAAGGGUGGAACAUCUUAAUUCACUUUUUUUUUUCUUUCACUUUGGCAGCGUGACACUAUCUCCACUGAUAAGACAAAAAACAAUUCAACUUCUCUCCAUACAGCCAGUUUUCACUUCAGUAUUGAUUAUGUUCUCAUAAGGUAAAAGAGGGUCUGGUAUCUGUACAGUUGGUGGAGAAAUUUGUAAAAAAAAAAAAAACUCUUUGUUGACCUUUUUUUUUUUAGAAAACAGAAAGCCAAACAAAGAAACUCCUUUACUUUCUGGCCUUCAAAUCCCUGAGCCUGCAGGAUAAAGUCGAGCUAAGGGAAGGAGACGUCCCUGAUCUUCAACUCUGAUGUGCCAUUGGGCAAAAAAAC